rnacentral:snoRNA from 1 species
ACGAGAUAUUCAAUCAUCUAAAUGAUGAGUCCGAGUGCAUUUGGCUCGAGACGUAAUGUCGAUGUGGAAAAACCCUAGCUACCUUAAUUUUUUUUGUCUGAUA